AUUUCUGCAUGAAAACGGAAAACUAUCCGUUAUUUUUUCAGUAUAUCUUUUCUCGUAGAAUGUGAAAUAGUUUGAAAUCAAAAGAGACGUAGAGAAAUGUCAUUGCCCAUUUUCAGUUCCGCUUUACUACAGGUG
ensembl:ncRNA T06E4.17 ncRNA